rnacentral:lncRNA from 1 species
AGGCUCGGCGUUGGCCUCCGCGGCCCGUGCGAGUGCGCCCUUCUCGGGUCCCCUAGGUCGCGGGGCAGCCGGGGCGGAAGGGGCUUGUUCAUUAUUUUGAGAGUUUGUUGUGAACGUCAUAACCUUUCGUCCUUAAAUAUUGCCGAUACUUGACCUACGCAAGAGACAAUGUCAUGUGAUUCAGCCUAAUAUCUCAGAGGAUGCAGCAUUCAAGGUUCUAUCUUGGAAGCAGAGACUGUGCCCUCACCAGAUGCUGAACCUGCUGAGCACCCUGAUCUUCCACUUCACCUUCAUCAGAACUACUGGGGCUGUGGCUGAGAUGUCACAUGGCAGAUAGGAUCACAAAUUUCUGUUGUAUCUGGAUGGAGAUCAGCAGGAGGAUCUAUGGACUGCUGUGAUUGCACCUGCCAUCUUAUGCAGAAAUGACCUGAAGACAGACUGAAACAACGUGUUCUACAGCCUGAAAAUAUCUACCUUGACUUACAGUUUUAUUAAUGCUGGUGUGAUCAGACUGGACAAAAAUUAGCAUAUGUUAUUAACUGAUCUAAUUCAAGUGCCAAUUCUUAAUAGAAACACAAAACAAUAAAAGCAAUUCAG